GUCAUUUGCAGGCACUUAAGAUUAAAGUUAUGUUCAAUGUCAGGGGACGGGUGUCACCUGUAUGCAGUAGUGAAUAUUUAGCAUAUGAUUUCCUUAUUGAAGUUUGAAGAGAAAACUGCACCUAAGAGCACUUGAAAUAACCCUCUGAUGAUCUUGCACUUCUUAUUUUAUAAACUACCUCAAGUAUUACAGGGACUUUUCUACUCGGUGUCACUUACAUAGCGAUGUUAUAUUUUCUACAGGUAUGCCAAGAAGAACAGAAUAGAACUGUGGUAAGAAAUGGUUAACCUACUAAUGGGUGGAAGAAAGAAGCUUUAACAUGCAAGUGAAUCAUCUUGACUCACACCAGGAAUUUAAUCCAAAUACAAACAGAUCACAUGGAAUGGGGAUCUGUGCUCGGCUGACCUUCAGUACAGAUCUCUGUCUUAGACCUACAUCUGGAACCUGACCCAGAGAAACCCAAAAUAGUCUGUCUUCUGGAGAGCAUACAGGCUUUGUCCAUGAACCAUGAGCACAAAACCCUCAGUAACCUGUGACUGAAAACUGAACACCAUGGGUAUCCACACAGUAAGGAUGCCUACCUUUGUGGCCCACAAUUAUGGAAUUUAGUCUCCUCAUUGUACUCCAAAUGAACCCCUGUGGCCUGGAGACUAGAAGUGAGUGGCAUCACUAGAUCACAUGUCUUUCUAAGUCUAGAGAAGCAAAUGUUCAGGUGCUUUUAUUCAGUAUACCUGUUACUUAUACACUUUAUUGUCCUUGUAAUCUCAUACUUCACUCUCAGAGGAUGCCACAUGGAAAGUUCAUAUUAAUUCAUGGAGGUGUAUCUUGUUUGUAUCAUUUCAAAUGGACUUUCUAGAAUAAUUUACUUCUCUGCUUCUUGAGUUCAAUGGUUACAUUAUAAUCUAUCAUGAUAUAAAAUGUGAAUAUACUCCUUCAGCAGAUACACACACACAUACGAGUGUAAAAUCUCAUGUAGAUCUGAACAAAUUGUGGAACAUUCAUAAAUGAUAAAAUGAGUUCAAUGAGCUCUGACUGCUUGGGGUAAAGAGGAAGACAGGAAAUGAACACCAAGCCAUGUCUAUGGGGCCAGCAGCACUACUGUAUGUUUCAUCUACAUAAAUGACACUCUGAUACAAUGGAUAAAUGUGAUUUACCACAAACUACUAACUACCUCUGAUAAGGUUUCAUAGCUGUCUAGCCUUCAGAAUGUCUCGAGAUUGCCAUUAUAAUAUCCCCCAGUAAGGCUGCACUGAGGCUAGAACCCACCACCUUGGAAAUGCUCUUCUCUGAGUAGAAAAGGACAUUUAGUGGAUUCAUGAAUAAAUUAUAGCAUUCCAAUAAUUGCUAUUGAAUUUAUUCAGUUAUUCUGAGGUUCAGUUAAUGUGUACAAUUUCAGUCAAUAUACUGAGUCAGGAAUUGUAUGAGCCCAUUCCUCAUUUAAUAGGCUCAUCUGGGAAGAUUAUAAAGACCCUCAUAAUUUAUAAGCAUCCAUCUAUAAUAGAGUGGGUCAGAGAGGCAAAGAAAUGGAGGCAAACAUUUCCAAUAGAAUAUGGUCCCCAUGAUGGUAAAGUACUUCAUACUACCCUAUCCAGGUGAAUGGAAGAUGAGUAGGGGGAAGACAAUGUCAAUACACUUUUGUUAUGAAUUGAAGAAUUAAACUUGAAUGCUCCUUACAGCAGAUCACAGUCUAAGUGUAACACACAUUUUCAUGAUAGAAAUUUGUAUAAAAUAAAACAUAAAGUCUUUAGACAGUUACUAACCACAAGCAUAUACACAAGUAAUUCUUCCAGGCCCCGUCUCAAAUGGUAUGUAUACUCUUUUCACCAGUUUUGAAUAUAUUUUACAAAAUUCUUUAUCCACUUAGCAGUAUGUCAUUUGAGUUUUUAAUUUAUCUCUUGGCUAUUUAUAUAUUUCCAUAAGACUAAAAUGUCAAAAAAUUAUAGGUGUUUUUGUAUAUUAUAUAGGUACUUUUUCAAAAGGUCUAUAAAAAUAAUUUACUUACAUUGUUGAAGUAUUCCUCUUUUAAGUUUGGAGUUGACGGAUGUGAUGCCCACACAAGUGCAAUAGUGGUACACAGCCAUGGUGAGGAAUCAGUUGCUCUUGA